AUUGAACGCUGGCGGCAGGCCUAAUACAUGCAAGUCGAGCGAGCGGCGGACGGGUGAGUAAUGUCUGGGAAACUGCCUGAUGGAGGGGGAUAACUACUGGAAACGGUAGCUAAUAACGCAUACCAACAGAUGAGCCUAGAUGGGAUUAGCUAGUAGGUGGGGUAACGGCUCACCUAGGCGACGAGCCCUAGCUGGUCUGAGAGGAUGACCAGCCACACUGGAGAGGGGAUGCGGUCCAGACUCCGACGUGAGGCAGCAGCGGAGCAUAUUGCGCAGGGAGCGCUAGCCUGUAUCGGGCAUGGCGGGGGUAUGAGGCGGACCUUCGGGGUGUGGAGUACUAUCAGCGGCGAAGCGUUACCCGCAGAAGAAGCACCGGCUAACUCCGUGCCAGCAGCCGCGGUAAUAC
rnacentral:rRNA from 1 species